rnacentral:rRNA from 1 species
GACGUAGGGCGCGAGCGUGUCCGGAUUUAUUGGGCGUAAAGAGCUCGUAGGCGGCUUGUCGCGUCGAAUGUGAAAUCUCAGGGCUCAACUCUGACAUUGCAUUCGAUACGGGCAGGCUCGAGUUCGGUAGGGGAGACUGGAAUUCCUGGUGUAGCGGUGAAAUGCGCAGAUAUCAGGAGGAACACCGGUGGCGAAGGCGGGUCUCUGGGCCGAUACUGACGCUGAGGAGCGAAAGCGUGGGGAGCGAACAGG